AUUGAACGCUGGCGGCAUGCCUUACACAUGCAAGUCGAACGGCAGCACGGGGCAACCUGGUGGCGAGUGGCGAACGGGUGAGUAAUGCAUCGGAACGUACCUUUCAGUGGGGGAUAACGUAGCGAAAGUUACGCUAAUACCGCAUAUUCUGUGAGCAGGAAAGCAGGGGAUCGCAAGACCUUGCGCUGGUUGAGCGGCCGAUGUCAGAUUGGCUAGUUGGUGAGGUAAAGGCUCACCAAGGCGACGAUCUGUAGCGGGUCUGAGAGGAUGAUCCGCCACACUGGAACUGGGACACGGUCCAGACUCCUACGGGAGGCAGCAGUGGGGAAUUUUGGACAAUGGGGGCAACCCUGAUCCAGCCAUGCCGCGUGAGUGAAGAAGGCCUUCGGGUUGUAAAGCUCUUUCGGCCGGGAAGAAAUCGCACGGGCUAAUACCCUGUGUGGAUGACGGUACCGGAAUAAGAAGCACCGGCUAACUACGUGCCAGCCGCCGCGGUAACAC
rnacentral:rRNA from 1 species